CCUACGGGGGACAGCAGUAGGGAAUAUUGCUCAAUGGGGGAAACCCUGAAGCAGCAACGCCGCGUGGAGGAUGAAGGUUUUCGGAUUGUAAACUCCUUUUGUUAGAGAAGAUAAUGACGGUAUCUAACGAAUAAGCACCGGCUAACUCCGUGCCAGCAGCCGCGGUAAUACGGAGGGUGCAAGCGUUACUCGGAAUCACUGGGCGUAAAGAGCGCGUAGGCGGGAUAGCAAGUCAGAUGUGAAAUCCUAUGGCUUAACCAUAGAACUGCAUUUGAAACUGUUAUUCUAGAGUAUGGGAGAGGUAGGUGGAAUGCUUGGUGUAGGGGUAAAAUGCGUAGAGAUCAAGAGGAAUACUCGUUGCGAAGGCGACCUGCUAGAACAUAACUGACGCUGAUGCGCGAAAGCGUGGGGAGCAAACAGGAUUAGAUACCCCUGUAGUC
rnacentral:rRNA from 1 species